GGAUGUGUGCCUGAAUUAAAGGAUUACUUUGAUAGAGUAAAACAAAGGAGUUCACCAAACCUCCUCGCCUCCU
rnacentral:tRNA from 1 species